rnacentral:tRNA from 1 species
AAGACUUUAAGUUAAUUCAAACUAAUAUCCUUCAAAGUUAUAAAUAAAGAAUUAUUAUCUUUAAGUCUUA